UAGAUGUUCUGGGCCGGCACGCGCGCUACACUGAAGGAAUCAGCGUGUUUAACAAUCCUGGGCCGACAGGCUUCCGGGUAACCCGCUGAACACAUUCGUGCUUAGGGAUCGUGGCUUGCAAUUUUUCCACGUGAACGAGGAAUUCCCAGUAAGCGCGAGUCAUCAGCUCGCGUUGAUUACGUCCCUGCCCUUUGUACACACCGCCCGUCGCUACUACCGAUUGAACGGUCGCAUUGAGGUCUUCGGAGUGGACGCGCGUUAUUCGGCCCCCUCGGGGGCUGGGUCGUCGCGCGAUCGCGAAGAUGACCGAAAUCGGCCGUUUAGAGGAAGUAAAAGUCGUAACAAGGUUUCCGUAGGUGAACCUGCGGAAGGAUCAUUA
rnacentral:ncRNA from 1 species